UACAGGGGGGGCGAGCGUUGUUCGGAAUUACUGGGCGUAAAGGGUUUGUAGGUGGCUUGCUCAGUCAGACGUGAAGUCCCUCAGCUUAACUGGGGAACUGCGUCUGAUACUAGCGAGCUUGAGUGCAGGAGAGGAACGCGGAAUUCCAGGUGUAGCGGUGAAAUGCGCAGAUAUCAGGAGGAACACCGGUGGCGAAGGCGGGUCUCUGGGAAACAACUGACGCUGAGGAACGAAAGCGUGGGUAGCAAACAGG
rnacentral:rRNA from 1 species